GGAGGAAAGCAGGGGAUCGUAAGACCUUGCGCUUUUUGGAGCGGCCGAUGCCUGAUUAGCUAGUUGGUGGGGUAAUGGCCUACCAAAGCUUCGAUCAGUAGCUGGUCUGAGAGGACGGCCAGCCACACUGGGACUGAGACACGGCCCAGACUCNUACGGGAGGCAGCAGUGGGGAAUUUUGGACAAUGGGCGCAAGCCUGAUCCAGCCAUGCCGCGUGAGUGAAGAAGGCCUUCGGGUUGUAAAGCUCUUUCGGCCGGAACGAAAUCGUCCGAGCUAAUACCUCGGAUGGAUGACGGUACUGGAAGAAGAAGCACCGGCUAACUACGUGCCAGCAGCCGCGGUAAUACGUAGGGUGCAGGCGUUAAUCGGAAUUACUGGGCGUAAAGCGUGCGCAGGCGGCUUCCUAAGUCAGAUGUGAAAUCCCCGGGCUUAACCUGGGAACUGCGUUUGAAACUACAAAGCUAG
rnacentral:rRNA from 1 species